GCCGGGCGCAGUGGCUCACGCCUGUAAUCCUAGCACUUUGGGAGGCUGAGGCGGGCGGAUCACGAGGUCAGGAGAUCGAGACCAUCCUGGCGAACACGGUGAAACCCCGUCUCUACUAAAAAUACAANNNNNNNNNNUUGUAUUUUUAGUAGAGACAGGGUUUCACUGUGUUAGCCAGAAUGGUCUCGAUCUCCUGACCUCGUGAUCCGCCCGCCUU
rnacentral:SRP_RNA from 1 species